rnacentral:rRNA from 1 species
UACGGAGGGAGCUAGCGUUGUUCGGAAUUACUGGGCGUAAAGCGCACGUAGGCGGCUUUGUAAGUUAGAGGUGAAAGCCUGGGGCUCAACUCCAGAACUGCCUUUAAGACUGCAUCGCUUGAAUCCAGGAGAGGUGAGUGGAAUUCCGAGUGUAGAGGUGAAAUUCGUAGAUAUUCGGAAGAACACCAGUGGCGAAGGCGGCUCACUGGACUGGUAUUGACGCUGAGGUGCGAAAGCGUGGGGAGCAAACAGG